GGACGAACGCUGGCGGCGUGCCUAAUACAUGCAAGUCGAGCGGAUCUUCUUGAGUAGCUUGCUACUNAAGAAGGUUAGCGGCGGACGGGUGAGUAACACGUAGGCAACCUGCCCGUAAGACCGGGAUAACAUUCGGAAACGAAUGCUAAGACCGGAUACGCAACCUUGCCGCAUGGCGGGGUUGGGAAACGCGGAGCAAUCUGCGGCUUACGGAUGGGCCUGCGGCGCAUUAGCUAGUUGGUGGGGUAACGGCUCACCAAGGCGACGAUGCGUAGCCGACCUGAGAGGGUGAACGGCCACACUGGGACUGAGACACGGCCCAGACUCCUACGGGAGGCAGCAGUAGGGAAUCUUCCACAAUGGACGCAAGUCUGAUGGAGCAACGCCGCGUGAGUGAGGAAGGCCUUCGGGUCGUAAAGCUCUGUUGCCAGGGAAGAACGCCAGGGAG
rnacentral:rRNA from 1 species